rnacentral:rRNA from 1 species
UAGGGAAUCUUCCGCAAUGGGCGAAAGCCUGACGGAGCAACGCCGCGUGAGUGAUGAAGGUCUUCGGAUCGUAAAACUCUGUUAUUAGGGAAGAACAAAUGUGUAAGUAACUAUGCACGUCUUGACGGUACCUAAUCAGAAAGCCACGGCUAACUACGUGCCAGCAGCCGCGGUAAUACGUAGGUGGCAAGCGUUAUCCGGAAUUAUUGGGGGUAAAGUGCGCGUAGGCGGUUUUUUAAGUCUGAUGUGAAAGCCAACGGCUCAACCGUGGAGGGUCAUUGGAAACUGGAAGACUUGAGUGCAGUAGAGGAAAGUGGAAUUCCAUGUGUAGCGGUGAAAUGCGCAGAGAUAUGGAGGAACACCAGUGGCGAAGGCGACUUUCUGGUCUGUAACUGACGCUGAUGUGCGAAAGCGUGGGGAUCAAACAGG